rnacentral:rRNA from 1 species
CCUACGGGUGGCAGCAGUGAGGAAUAUUGGUCAAUGGGCGCGAGCCUGAACCAGCCAAGUAGCGUGAAGGAUGACUGCUCUACGGGUUGUAAACUUCUUUUAUAAAGGAAUAAAGUGAGGCACGUGAGCCUUUUUGUAUGUACUUUAUGAAUAAGGAUAGGCUAAUUCUGCGCCAGCAGCCGCGGUAAUACGGAGGAUCCGAGCGUUAUACGGAUUUAUUGGGUUUAAAGGGAGCGUAGAUGGGUUGUUAAGUCAGUUGUGAAAGUUUGCGGCUCAACCGUAAAAUUGCAAUUGAUACUGGUAGUCUUGAGUACAGUAGAGGUAGGCGGAAUUCGUGGUGUAGCGGUGAAAUGCUUAGAGAUCACGAAGAACUCCGAUUGCGAAGGCAGCUUACUAAACUGCAACUGACAUUGAUGCUCGAAAGUGUGGGUAUCAAACAGGAUUAGAUACCCCAGUAGUC